GGCAGUGGGGUGCCACGGGAACGUCCGUCCCCGCUUCCAUCCGUUUAGCAUUCCCUGGCUAAGGAACGAACGGAGCGCCCUGUAAUGAAGGUUUAUUCUCAUUUCUGUAUUGCUGUGGCUAGAGCUGGGGGAGAGCUCAAGGAGAUCUGACAGCUUCAGCAGUGGGUGCCGAAGGAGUUCCCCAACUGGGAAGCAUUAGCUCUUGCUAGCAGGGAGGGCACGCAGAUGCACAGCAGGCUGAGACAUUCCUGCAUCCUUUUCCAUCCUUCUCCAUUCCCCGUGUUCCCAGCAGGGCAGAGCCGUGUGACACCAAAGGUUGAUGGGUUCCCUGGGAUUCCGGUGGCUGUGUGUUCGCUCCUUCUGUUAAGCAGGUACCCGCAGCACGUUCCUUCCCGCAGUUUCCUGGUGCCCCGCGCUCCCCGGCCGCUGAUCCGGCUUGCGCUGAGGCCGCGGCGUGCGGGAGGAACCACCAGGUGGCGACGUCUCUCCGUGCUGCUGCUGCUGCGGGCUUCGGUGGCUUUUCCGCCCUUCGCUCAGAAGCAGGAGCAGAUGCAGCUUGCUAGCUUGCUGCCCACCGGCACCGCUCAAUGCACGCUGGCAGAGCCGCCCCAUGCAUUGGAGAGGCAGCUUCCCCCUUUGCAGGAGGCACAGCACUGCUGACCUCAUCAGGAUCCCACCUCGUGCGUUGACGUGGAAUGAAGUCACCGUGGAGCUGGGACCCGGCAGUGAGCUGCAGGGCUGUGUGUGACAAAGAGAGCAACCUGAAGACAGGGGACUGCGAAACCUCCAUGACGUGCUUUGGAAAAAUACGUGGUCAGAGGGUGAAUACGCAGAGGAGAAGGAAUGCUCAGUUUGGGAUGAGCUGCCCUGGUUCUGCAGCCCCAACCGCCAUCUGUUGCGCUGAGCUCCGUCUAGCUCAGGCCGUAACUGUGCUCUCACCAGAUGUUAGCUUACAUGAGCUGCAUGUAAAAGUGAACUGGUGCGAGAGCUGUGGCCCGAAGUGCUUUCAGUAGGGUCUGACCUGCCGCAGUGACGACGUGCUAGCCGGCCUCUCGCUGCGGGGAUGCGCUCCAGAAGUCGCAGGGCUCUCACUGAGGCUGCAUCUUGCCUGCUGCGUCCUUCGGCGCCGAUCCUCCAGAACAGGAAAGUGGGAAUAAAGCUACGAGUGCAAAGCUGGCUGCUCAUGGAAUAUCUGCAGCGUGAUUGGCACUAAUGCUCUGCAGCCAGUGGGAGAAGAUACGUUACCCAAGCUUGCAGAGCUUUACCCACCCUUCUGGCUGAUGACAUGUUAAACACUUGGUUUGCGAUCAUCAAUUUUCUCCUGAAAUGAUACCCAAAGCUCUGCUGUUUUGAUUUAAAGUGAUUUCGAGUCUUGUAGUUAACAGUUAAGGAUGGUCCUGUCCAAGAGAAUCUAACUUGAGGAAGCCAUGAAAUUUAAUUCAUUUCUGCAACUUAAAUAUAUAAUCAGUGACAUAUGGGAAUACUAAAUACGGGGGGAAAUGUCAUUGCUUAAGUAAAAUUUCUGCAUUCAGUCAAAACCCAGCAGUUGUAACAUCAAACUGUAGUUUCCAUUGUACAGGAAAUAAAGCAUCAUUUUUUCAAAGAAAA